AUUGAACGCUGGCGGCAUGCCUUACACAUGCAAGUCGAACGGUAACAGGUCUUCGGAUGCUGACGAGUGGCGAACGGGUGAGUAAUACAUCGGAACGUGCCUAGUAGUGGGGGAUAACUACUCGAAAGAGUGGCUAAUACCGCAUGAGAUCUACGGAUGAAAGCAGGGGAUCGCAAGACCUUGUGCUACUAGAGCGGCCGAUGUCAGAUAAGGUAGUUGGUGGGAUAAAAGCUUACCAAACCGACGAUCUGUAGCUGGUCUGAGAGGACGAUCAGCCACAAUGGGAUGGAGACCAGGCCCAGACUCCUAAGGGAGGCAGCAGUGGGGAAUUUUGGACAAUGGGCGAAAGCCUGAUCCAGCAAUGCCGCGUGCAGGAUGAAGGCCUUCGGGUUGUAAACUGCUUUUGUACGGAACGAAAAGCUCUGGGUUAAUACCCUGGGGUCAUGACGGUACCGUAAGAAUAAGCACCGGCUAACUACGUGCCAGCCGCCGCCGUAAUAC
rnacentral:rRNA from 1 species